GACGAACGCUGGCGGCGUGCUUAACACAUGCAAGUCGAACGAGACGAUUGAAAGCUUGCUUUCGAAAGUCGAGUGGCAAACGGGUGAGUAACGCGUAGACAACCUGCCUUUGAGAUGGGGACAACAGUUCGAAAGGACUGCUAAUACCGAAUGUUGUAUAUUUUCCACAUGGAAGAUAUAUUAAAGAUGGCCUCUAUUUAUAAGCUAUCGCUCAAAGAUGGGUCUGCGUCCGAUUAGCUGGUUGGUGGGGUAACGGCCUACCAAGGCGACGAUCAGGAGCCGGUCUGAGAGGAUGAACGGCCACAUUGGGACUGAGACACGGCCCAGACUCCUACGGGAGGCAGCAGUGGGGAAUCUUCCACAAUGGACGAAAGUCUGAUGGAGCAACGCCGCGUGAGUGAAGAAGGGUUUCGGCUCGUAAAGCUCUGUUGUCGGGGACGAAUGUGCAGUAUUUGAAUAAAGUACUGCAAUGACGGUACCUGACGAGGAAGCCACGGCUAACUACGUGACAGCCGCCGCCGUAC
rnacentral:rRNA from 1 species